rnacentral:rRNA from 1 species
AUACGUAGGGUGCGAGCGUUGUCCGGAAUUACUGGGCGUAAAGAGCUCGUAGGUGGUUUGUCGCGUCGUCUGUGAAAUUCCGGGGCUUAACUCCGGGCGUGUAGGCGAUACGGGCAUAACUUGAGUACUGUAGGGGAGACUGGAAUUCCUGGUGUAGCGGUGAAAUGCGCAGAUAUCAGGAGGAACACCGGUGGCGAGGGCGGGUCUCUGGGCAGUAACUGACGCUGAGGAGCGAAAGCAUGGGUAGCGAACAGGAUUAGAUACCCUGGUAGUCCAUGCCGUAAACGGUGGGCGCUAGGUGUAGGGGUCUUCCACGACUUCUGUGCCGUAGCUAACGCAUUAAGCGCCCCGCCUGGGGAGUACGGCCGCAAGGCUAAAACUCAAAUGAAUUGACGGGG